rnacentral:rRNA from 1 species
UACGUAGGGUGCGAGCGUUGUCCGGAAUUAUUGGGCGUAAAGGGCGCGUAGGCGGCUUGGUCAGUCCCGUGUGAAAUCCCUCGGCUCAACUGAGGAACUGCACGGGAAACUGCCUGGCUUGAGUUCGGGAGAGGGAAGCGGAAUUCCGGGUGUAGCGGUGAAAUGCGUAGAUAUCCGGAGGAACACCGGUGGCGAAGGCGGCUUCCUGGACCGACACUGACGCUGAGGCGCGAAAGCUAGGGUAGCAAACAGG